rnacentral:lncRNA from 1 species
GUAAAAAUAACAAAAUUAAACAACAAAAAAAGUCUUGUUACAAUUAAUAUUAAAACUGAUUUUAUUUAUACAGCAAUUCCCAUUUCCCUUCUAGUGCGCCCAUGGGCUGCCUAAGGAAUAUUAAGCAGAGUCAGAUUAAAAGAGAAAUAUGGAAACACCAUUUCCAUAAUCACCGAUGAUCAGUAAACUUCAAAAACUGAACCUGAGCAGUUAAAUUUCACUUAGAACAUAUUAACAUCUACUGAGACAAAAAAACCCCCAAAACCCUCAAAACAAAAAACAACUGUUGUAUUGUGCUGUUAAUUUUGCUUCCCAUGGUGUUACACUAAUGGUUUGUUCACCUCUUCCCUCUGCUUCUGUUGUUUACCCAAGUUGUCCCCUCCUACCCCAGUUGUCAAUCCACCCUGGCACCUUCCCCUUGUUCCUGAAUGUUCCCUGUUCCUCCCCUCUGGGCUCUGUCUGUCACUCUGCUACUCCUCCCAGCUUCUAGAAAGUUCAGGGAAGGUAGUUGAGCGAUAGGGCAGAGACAGAGGCAGUCCCACCCCAAACCAUCCUCAUUGGGUCUCCAUGAUGUCCUUCUGACCUUAUCCUGCUCCUCCCUUGUUUCCCAUUGGUUUGCAAUCUGUCCCCUCCCCUGGUUCCUCCCCCGGAUUUCAAUUGGUGUUGUUGCUGCUUCAGGGAUUUUCCUGGAGCAGGACUCAUGGGGUUGGAGGUCCCUGUGGGGACUCAGUAAACCUUGGGUUUUGCCCUUCAAGAGAGCCUGACUCCUGCCUCCUCCGUAGUUGCUGCAGGCUCUUCCAUCAAGCUGCUCCUCUGAUUACCAAGAUUCGAAGGGGUGUCCUCCUGCAGUUAAGAGAGCAAGGAUCUGGCAUGAAUCAGAAGCAUUCAAAAGUGAGGGACUCACGGGCUGAGAGAAUCAGAAAAGAGCUUCCAUCCAGAUAACAAAGAAAGCUUACUGAAGACAUGUGGCUGGAUCAUGCUAAAUAAUAACUAGUGACAACUGGGAAGAAUGUAGGAAAGUCUUCUGCAGAUCAUCUAUCCUGUGGAUCAACAUACACUAGAAAUACAACAGUGCCAAACAACCACUUGUGUGCCCCAUUGUCAUUGCUAGACUCAAAGAGGGAUCCAAAACACAGUUCAAAACCAAAAUUAAUCUUCCCUUCCAUGAAAUUCUGUGAAUCUCUUUCCUCUCAGCACAAUUCAUUUCUCAAACAUAUGAAAGCUCUCUAAUAACUAAACAUUUUGUGUUAUUUUUGGACGAUGUAACCUAGGAUGAAACCUAUGCUUGUUUUGACAGAUGCAACAGGUGUUCAUUAAGAAUUUCCAAUCUAAAUGAAUGGUACAGCAGAGGAUGGAGAAACUGGUUCAGUGAUAUUUUAAGUGUCAUAUAAUGAAAAGGAACACAAUACUUGCUUUUUCUUUUUUUUUUCCUGAUAAAUUGCUCCAGAGUUACCACUGUCUUAUUAUUCUCUUCAAUUUUUAGGAGAAAUUUUCAGAGGUAAAACUACAUGAUGUAUGUGGGCUUCACUGUCAAACAAAUGCAAGAACUUUGCCAUUGUGAAUAGAUACUUGAAUUAGUUAAAACAGUGAUUCAUGUAUUUUAGGUAUAGCCAUACAUAUAUAUUAUAAUAGUGUAGGAGGUACUCUUGCACACAGAAGAUCUUACAAUGGCAGCACUGAUUUGAAUUUGCCUGUGUUAUUGGACAACAGCAAGUCAAACUUUUGAACAUUUUUUUGGACAGUCUUUUAAUCUCUUUCAGUUAUACCAAGGCUGACUUGCUAAAAUCCUUUCUGAAAUCUGAAAUUUUUUUGGUGGUGAGAACAUUCAGUCUGAUCUUUGCUUUGCUGCAAUAUAUUUCUAACCUUAUUUUGUUUAAAAUGGUAUCUAUAGCUAUCAGCUAAGAGGCAUUUACCAAUUACUGAAUUCCACUGCUUCUUUGGUAAUAAGGGAAAACAAUAAUAGCAUAAUCUGCUGAAAAAUAGUAAUCUCACAAAAAAUGGCCAUGGCUACUAACUUCUAGUAUGAGUAGAGAGAAGCAUCUGUAUUCCCUAAACCACGAUUUUAUUUGAGACUGAACUAUAUUUAUCUAAACAAAUCACUGUCAACUGUGCAGAAUACCCCCUAAAUUAACAGUCACUUUUCUAUUCACCUCUAUUGCACAACCAAAUACUAACCAUGAUGCCAAACCAAAUUCCUUUCUGUCUCAUUUGUAUGGAGAGCUUCUCCUCUGAUGACAGCAAAAUUUGAAGUCUCUAGCAUAUUAUGCCUGCUCUACGCUUCGCUGAACCUUGCUAAAAACCCUUCUGUCUUUUCAGAAAACUGCAGGGCCGCAUUUCUUGUUUCCCUUAUAAUCUCUGUCACAGAAAAAAACCCACCUAAUCACAGUCCAUAACCACAGCUCACUUCAAUUAUAUCAGUGAUGGUAACACCCUGCAUUUUCAGAUGAGAAACUAUCUAGUAAUUUCAGAUGCUCUGCCAAGAGCACAUGGUGCACUUGAUGGCAUAUAAAUGGAUGAUCAGGAACAAGGAAUAGCAACAGAACGUGUGAGACUGAUAAAAGCUGUAUCACAAGGCAUAUAAAUUUAGCAGGGGAAAAAAAAUAAAGCAAGAAAAUAAAAAAGUACUACA